CCUACGGGAGGCAGCAGUAGGGAAUCUUCCGCAAUGGACGAAAGUCUGACGGAGCAACGCCGCGUGAACGAUGAAGGCCUUCGGGUCGUAAAGUUCUGUUGUUAGGGAAGAACAAGUGCUAGUUAAAUAAGCUGGCACCUUGACGGUACCUAACCAGAAAGCCACGGCUAACUACGUGCCAGCAGCCGCGGUAAUACGUAGGUGGCAAGCGUUGUCCGGAAUUAUUGGGCGUAAAGCGCGCGCAGGCGGUUUCUUAAGUCUGAUGUGAAAGCCCCCGGCUCAACCGGGGAGGGUCAUUGGAAACUGGGAAACUUGAGUGCAGAAGAGGAAAGUGGAAUUCCAAGUGUAGCGGUGAAAUGCGUAGAGAUUUGGAGGAACACCAGUGGCGAAGGCGACUUCCUGGUCUGUAACUGACGCUGAGGCGCGAAAGCGUGGGGAGCAAACAGGAUUAGAUACCCUGGUAGUCCACGCUGUAAACGAUGAGUGCUAAGUGUUAGAGGGUUUCCGCCUUUAGUGCUGAAGUUAACGCAUUAAGCACUCCGCCUGGGGAGUCGGUGCAAGACUGAAACUUAAAGGAAUUGCGG
rnacentral:rRNA from 1 species